GUAGGUGAACCUGCGGAAGGAUCAUUAUUGAAUAAAUCUGAUGAGGUUGUAGCUGGUCCUCCGGGGCAUGUGCACAUCUUGUCACCUUUAUCUCUCCACCUGUGCACACACUGUAGUCCUGGAUACCUCUCGCCGUAAGGCGGAUGCGGGGUCUGCUGUCUCUUCGCAAGAAGUUCAGCUUACCUCGAAUGUCCAGGUCUACGACAUUUACACACCCCAAACUGUAUGUUACAGAAUGUUAUCAUUGGGC
rnacentral:misc_RNA from 1 species